rfam:Schistosoma mansoni strain Puerto Rico chromosome 6, complete genome
AUCCAGCUGACGAGUCCCAACUAGGACGAAACGCGCAUCCUGGAU